rnacentral:rRNA from 1 species
AAUAGAUACCCCUGGUAGUCCACGCUGUAAACGAUGAGCGCUAGGUAUCUGGGAGGUUAAUCUCUGGGUGUCGUAGCUAACGCGUUAAGCGCUCCGCCUGAGGAGUACGGUCGCAAGAUUAAAACUCAAAGGAAUUGACGGGGGACCCGCACAAGCGGUGGAACAUGUGGUUUAAUUCGAUGUUACACGAAAAACCUUACCAGGUCUUGACAUACUAGUCGUACAGCUAAGAAACUAGCUGGUCAGUUCGGCUGGACUAGUACAGGUGUUGCAUGGUUGUCGUCAGCUCGUGUCGUGAGAUGUUGGGUUAAGUCCCGCAACGAGCGCAACCCUCAUUUUUAGUUACCAUCAUUAAGUUGGGUACUUUAAAGAAACUGCCGGUGAUAAGCCGGAGGAAGGUGGGGAUGAUGUCAAAUCAGCAUGGCCCUUACGGCCUGGGCUACACACGUGUUACAAUGGUGACUACAAUGAGAUGCGAUAGGGCAACCUUGAGCAAAUCUCUAAAAGUCAUCUCAGUUCGGAUUGCACUCUGA